AAUGAACGCUGGCGGCAUGCCUUACACAUGCAAGUCGAACGGUAACAGGCCUUGCGUUGCUGACGAGUGGCGAACGGGGGCGUAUUUCGUCCACACGUACCCAUUCGUUGGAGAAAAGGCAGCGCAAGCGGUGCUAAUACCGCAUGUGAUCUGAGGAUGAAAGCGGGGGACUGCGCAAGAUAAUUUGGCCUUUCGCGUUUGGAGCGGGCGACGCCGGGUGAGCUUGUUGGUGGGGUAAGGGCCUACCAAGGCGACGAUCCGUUGCCGGUCUGAGAGGAUGACAAGCCACACUGGGACUGAGACACGGUCCAGACUCCUACGGGAGGCAGCAGUGGCGAAUUUUGUACAAUGGGCGAAAGCCUGAUCCAGCAAAGCCGCGUGCGGGAAGAAGGCCUUCGGAUCGUAAACCGCUCUUAGCAGGGACGAAACGAUGUCCGCUAAUCCCGGGCCCUCAUGACGGUACCUAAACAAAAAGCACCGGCUAACUCCGUG
rnacentral:rRNA from 1 species